rnacentral:rRNA from 1 species
GACAGAGGGUGCAAACGUUGCUCGGAAUCACUGGGCGUAAAGGGCGUGUAGGCGGGACGGUAAGUCGGGCGUGAAAUCCCUAGGCUCAACCUAGGAACUGCACUCGAAACUACCAUUCUUGAGUGUCGGAGAGGAAAGCGGAAUUCCUGGUGUAGAGGUGAAAUUCGUAGAUAUCAGGAGGAACACCAGUGGCGAAGGCGGCCCGCUGGGCAGUGGCUGACGCUGAGGCGCGACAGCGUGGGGAGCAACAGGAUUAGAACCGAGUA